CAGGCUUAACACAUGCAAGUCGAACGCCCCGCAAGGGGAGUGGCAGACGGGUGAGUAACGCGUGGGAACAUACCCUUUCCUGCGGAAUAGCUCCGGGAAACUGGAAUUAAUACCGCAUACGCCCUACGGGGGGAAGAUUUAUCGGGGGAGGAUUGGCCCGCGUUGGAUUAGCUAGUUGGUGGGGUAAAGGCCUACCAAGGCGACGAUCCAUAGCUGGUCUGAGAGGAUGAUCAGCCACAUUGGGACUGAGACACGGCCCAANNCCUACGGGAGGCAGCAUGG
rnacentral:rRNA from 1 species